rnacentral:sRNA from 1 species
UGCAGUUAGGACAUGAUGUCAUUGCUUCUCAUUCGGGAGUCACGUGCACAAAAAGGAUCAAAGGGCCAACCCAUCUUAACAUGUGUUUAAUAAAAGGGUUUUAGAAGGUUUACCCAUUUGACACGGACCGACGUUCUCCUGGCCCAGAACUUCCCUAGCUUAGCAAUCCGGGGUAGGGUGCGUAACCCUACGGGUGCUUGGCGAUAAAAAGGCCGUGUAUCCUUUUGUAUUAGCUUUUUUGAUGUUGAAUUCGGUGCUCGCUCACGUUAUUUUAUUUUAGAUCGAGGACACGCUUGUGCCACAUUUACACAAAAAAUUCUUUGUCGGCG